AUUAGUGGCGGACGGGUGAGUAACACGUGGGAACGUGCCUUUUGGUUCGGAACAACUCAGGGAAACUUGAGCUAAUACCGGAUAAGCCUUUCGAGGGAAAGAUUUAUCGCCAUUAGAGCGGCCCGCGUAGGAUUAGCUAGUUGGUGGGGUAAAGGCCCACCAAGGCUACGAUCCUUAGCUGGUCUGAGAGGAUGAUCAGCCACAUUGGGACUGAGACACGGCCCAAACUCCUACGGGAGGCAGCAGUGGGGAAUCUUGCGCAAUGGGCGAAAGCCUGACGCAGCCAUGCCGCGUGAAUGAUGAAGGUCUUAGGAUUGUAAAAUUCUUUCACCGGGGACGAUGAUGACGGUACCCGGAGAAGAAGCCCCGGCUAACUUCGUGCCAGCAGCCGCGGUAAUACGAAGGGGGCUAGCGUUGCUCGGAAUUACUGGGCGUAAAGGGAGCGUAGGCGG
rnacentral:rRNA from 1 species